rnacentral:rRNA from 1 species
UACGUAGGGUGCGAGCGUUAAUCGGAAUUACUGGGCGUAAAGCGUGCGCAGGCGGUGAUGUAAGACAGAUGUGAAAUCCCCGGGCUCAACCUGGGAACUGCAUUUGUGACUGCAUCGCUGGAGUGCGGCAGAGGGGGAUGGAAUUCCGCGUGUAGCAGUGAAAUGCGUAGAUAUGCGGAGGAACACCGAUGGCGAAGGCAGCCCCCUGGGCUGACACUGACGCUCAGGCACGAAAGCGUGGGGAGCAAACAGG